rnacentral:rRNA from 1 species
UACAGAGGUCUCAAGCGUUGUUCGGAUUCAUUGGGCGUAAAGGGUGCGUAGGCGGCGCGGUAAGUCGGGUGUGAAAUCUUGGAGCUUAACUCCGAAACUGCAUUCGAUACUGCCGUGCUUGAGGACUGGAGAGGAGACUGGAAUUUACGGUGUAGCGGUGAAAUGCGCAGAUAUCGGGAAGAACACCCGUGGCGAAGGCGGCUCUCUGGGACGGUACUGGACGCUGAGACGCGAAAGCGUGGGGAGCGAACAGG